rnacentral:lncRNA from 1 species
CCCACCCUGACUUCCUUUUCUUGUGGAAUUCUGAUAGGUUGGAAAGGCGUGAAGGAAAUAUCCGCUCUCCAUUCACAGCUUUCAAAGAUGACGUUGAUGCUCUGGUAAUGCCCUUAUGCCUGGAUCUUCUCCUCAGGAAUUUGUUUAUGGGCUCCACAUCUGCCUGAUGGCUAGUAUCCCUAGUAUCCCAUGGCUUGCUUGUGUCCUGGGAGAUGCUUAAGUGGUAGAGCAAGAAUGUCCUGAUGACGUUACAGGUCCCUUCAUCUGCUUCUGAUUUGCCUAUGGUCUUUCCGCCUCUAUUUGGAACACAGCCCAUUGGAAGCCUGGGGUUGCAUCUACUAUGAGCCCUUGUACACUGCAGUACCAGAGAUGAAGUACCAACUGAUGAAGCUCUGUUGAAUGAAUGGGUGGUCGUCAGUCCCGGGUUGGGACGGAAGGUGUUUUGAUCAUGUCUCCUGGACCCCUGGCUCCUGUCAAAGUUACCACCCCCACAGCCCACGCAGGAGAGGUGUCUAUCAGCCUCGAAGACAAUGUCCCAAGCUCCCAGCAUUCUAGCCAGGUAUGCUCCUCCCCACAGUUAUCUGAUAGCCCAGCCCACUAUAAAAGGGACUGCUUGGCCCCUCCUCGCUCUCUUUAAGCUCUCACCUUUCUCUCUAUCUCUCCUUCUCUCUCCCCCUCCCCCUCUCUCCACGUGGCCAUGGCUGCCUCGCUCUCUCUUUCUACCUUCUCUCUUUCCCCCUGCCUUCUACAAUAAAGCUCUAAAAUCACAGACUGUCUCUGCUCAUCAAGGCCCUCCAUGCUUGAAGAAUGAGAUAGGCUUUCCCCUAACGAGCCAUGUCUAACCUCCCCAUGGAAGGCCUUCCUGCGCUCCAGCCAUGGACAAGAUCAAGGACACUCGCCCGUGUGGAAACCACACUGCAGCCCCCUCUCCCCACCCCCUCUCCUCCCUUCAGCCCUGGGGCUGACCCAACCACCCCCGGGGACCCCAUUCUGUCUCAGCUCUUCUGUGUCCAGCAGUGUCUGGGAUGCCUGAGGCUGAGAACCUGGUACCUAGGACUGCCCCUU